rnacentral:rRNA from 1 species
CAAUAGCGUAUAUUUAAGUUGUUGCAGUUAAAAAGCUCGUAGUUGGAUUUCGGAUGGGACUUGCCGGUCCGUCGUUUCGAUGUGCACUGGCCAGUCCUAUCUUGUUGUCGGGGACUAGCUCCUGGGCUUCACUGUCCGGGACUAGGAACUGACGAGGUUACUUUGAGUAAAUUAGAGUGUUCAAAGCAAGCCUACGCUCUGAAUACAUUAGCAUGGAAUAACACGAUAGGACUCUGGCUUAUCUUGUUGGUCUGUGAGACCAGAGUAAUGAUUAAGAGGGACAGUCGGGGGCAUUCGUAUUUCAUUGUCAGAGGUGAAAUUCUUGGAUUUAUGAAAGACGAACUUCUGCGAAAGCAUUUGUCAAGGAUGUUUUCAUUAA